rnacentral:rRNA from 1 species
AGGGCAAUCGGUGGAUGCCUUGGCACCAAGAGCCGAUGAAGGACGUUGUAACCUGCGAUAAGCCACGGGGAGUUGGUAAACGAGCUUUGAUCCGUGGAUGUCCGAAUAGGGAAACCUUGAAAGGAACCGGAGUAAUGUCCGGCGACCCCCGUCUGAAUGUAUAGGACGGUGGGAGGGAACGUGGGGAAGUGAAACAUCUCAGUACCCAUAGGAAAAGAAAACAACCGUGAUUCCGUAAGUAGUGGCGAGCGAACGCGGAACAGGCCAAACCACCAGCAUGUGAUAGCUGACAGGUGUUGUGUUGGUGGUGUUGUGGGGCCUCUCGGACCGGGCUGUCGACUGGUCGAAGAGUUAUAAAUGGUCGUUGAAGUCGAAGUGUAUGGAAAGACACAGUAUAGAAGGUAAGACUCCUGUAGGCGUAAGCCGGCCACUCUUGAGGGUCACCCCAAGUAACACGGAACCCCUGAAAUUCCGUGUGAAUCUGGCGGGACCACCCGUUAAGCCUAAAUACUCCUUGGUGACCGAUAGCGGAUGAGUACCGUGAGGGAAAGGUGAAAAGUACCCCGGGAGGGGAGUGAAAUAGUACCUGAAACCGUUUGCCUACAAUCCGUCGGAGCCUUCGUUUUGUUGCGGGGGUGACGGCGUGCCUUUUGAAGAAUGAGCCUGCGAGUUAGUGGUGCGUGGCGAGGUUAACCCGUGUGGGGUAGCCGUAGCGAAAGCGAGUCCGAAUAGGGCGUUUCAGUCGCGUGCUCUAGACCCGAAGCGACGUGAUCUAUCCAUGGCCAGGUUGAAGCGACGGUAAGACGUCGUGGAGGACCGAACCCACCUGGGUUGAAAACCGGGGGGAUGAGCUGUGGAUAGGGGUGAAAGGCCAAUCAAACGUCGUAAUAGCUGGUUCUCCCCGAAAUGCAUAUAGGUGCAGCGUCGCGUGUUUCUUGCCGGAGGUAGAGCACUGGAUGGUCGAGGGGGCCCACAAGCUUACCAACAUCAGCCAAACUCCGAAUGCCGGCAAGUUAGAGCGUGGCAGUGAGACGGCGGGCGAUAAGGUUCGUCGUCGAGAGGGAAACAGCCCAGAUCAUCAGCUAAGGCCCCUAAGCGAUAACUAAGUGGAAAAGGAUGUGGAGUUGCGCAGACAACCAGGAGGUUGGCUUGGAAGCAGCCAUCCUUGAAAGAGUGCGUAAUAGCUCACUGGUCAAGUGAUUCCGCGCCGACAAUGUAGCGGGGCUCAAGUUAUCCGCCGAAGCUAUGGCAUUCACAUUUUUGCCCGGCCCUUCGUGGGUCUAGGUGUGUGGAUGGGUAGGGGAGCGUCGUAUGCGCUGUGAAGCGGCGGGGUGACCCAGCCGUGGAGAGUAUACGAGUGAGAAUGCAGGCAUGAGUAGCGAAUGACGGGUGAGAAACCCGUCCGCCGAAUAUCCAAGGGUUCCAGGGUCAAGCUAAUCUGCCCUGGGUGAGUCGGGACCUAAGGCGAGGCCGACAGGCGUAGUCGAUGGACAACGGGUUGAUAUUCCCGUACCGGCUUGGUGACGCCCCUGCCGAGGCGUGUGAUGCUAAGGACGCGAGCUGGGCUCAGCGGGUCUUUUUGGUCCGCGGGUCUGGUGAGUCUCCGAUCCGAACUCGUAUUAGGCAAGCUACGGAGGGACGCAGGAAGGUAGCCCAUCCCGGGCGAUGGUUGUCCCGGGGUAAGCGUGUAGGACGCGGUGGUGAGAACACCGCAUUCAAGUCUGAGGCGUGAUGCCUGGCAGGCCCACGGGCCUGCGAGUGGGUGAUCCUAUGCUGCCUAGAAAAUCUUCGUUAGCGAGUCAUCCGGCCGCCCGUACCCCAAACCGACACAGGUGGAUGAGUAGAGAAUACUAAGGCGAUCGAGAGAACCAUGGUGAAGGAACUCGGCAAAAUACCCCCGUAACUUCGGGAUAAGGGGGACCUGAGACGUGUAUGACAUACAUUGAGCGUCGAGGGUCGCAGAGACCAGGCCCAAGCGACUGUUUACCAAAAACACAGGUCCGGCCCAAGCGACUGUUUACCAAAAACACAGGUCCGUGCCAAGUUGAAAGACGAUGUAUACGGACUGACUCCUGCCCGGUGCUGGAAGGUUAAGGGGAAGCGUCAGCCGAAAGGCGAAGCGCCGAACUUAGCGGUGGUAACUAUAACCAUCCUAAGGUAGCGAAAUUCCUUGUCGGGUAAGUUCCGACCUGCACGAAUGGAGUAACGAUUUGGGCGCUGUCUCCACCAUGAACUCGGCGAAAUUGCAGUACGAGUAAAGAUGCUCGUUAAGCGCAGCAGGACGGAAAGACCCCGGGACCUUUACUAUAGUUUGGUAUUGGUGAUCGGUACGACUUGUGUAGGAUAGGUGGGAGACUGUGAAGCAUUCACGCCAGUGGGUGUGGAGUCAUCGUUGAAAUACCACUCUGGUCGUUCUGGUUAUCUAACCUAGGUCCAUUAUCUGGAUCAGGGACAGUGCCUGAUGGGUAGUUUGACUGGGGCGGUCGCCUCCCAAAAGGUAACGGAGGCGCCCAAAGGUUCCCUCAGCCUGGUUGGCAAUCAGGUGUUGAGUGUAAAUGCACAAGGGAGCUUGACUGUGAGAGCGACGGCUCGAGCAGGUGCGAAAGCAGGGAUUAGUGAUCUGACGGUGGCAUGUGGAAGCGCCGUCACUCAACGGAUAAAAGGUACCCCGGGGAUAACAGGCUGAUCUUGCCCGAGCGUCCAUAGCGACGGCAUGGUUUGGCACCUCGAUGUCGGCUCGUCGCAUCCUGGGGCUGGAGUCGGUCCCAAGGGUUGGGCUGUUCGCCCAUUAAAGCGGCACGCGAGCUGGGUUCAGAACGUCGUGAGACAGUUCGGUCCCUAUCCGCUGCGCUCGUAGGAAUCUUGAGAAGGGCUGUCCUUAGUACGAGAGGACCGGGACGGACUAACCUCUGGUGUGCCAGUUGUUCUGCCAAGAGCACGGCUGGUUGGCUACGUUGGGGAGUGAUAACCGCUGAAAGCAUCUAAGCGGGAAGCAUGCUUCAAGAUGAGGGUUCCCACAGUGU